rnacentral:lncRNA from 10 species
CUAUUCUCCAUCUUCUUGGGUGUCCAGAGAGUGUUGGAGUGGCUCCAGCAUAGCUACAAGGGCAGGCUCGGAGGUGGUAUCUGCCCCCAAAAAUCAUUUCUGUGUUGCAUGAGCAUCAUUUGAGAAGACCUGCUGCAUCAUCCCUAUCAAUAAGGCUUAGAGACGGGUUUUCACCGUGUUAGCCAGGAUGGUCUCGAUCUCCUGACCUCGUGAUCUGCCCAGUCGGCCUCCCAAAGUGCUGGGAUUACAGGCGUGAGCCACCGCACCUGGCCACUCUUGCGUAUCUUAAGAUGACACACCAUCCAUCAGAAACGUCUCCAUUUAUUGAAGCUCAGAUACCAUUGCUUCAAGGUGCGAGCUGGUAUAACUGAAAGCAAAGAAGACAUUGCUAAGUUGAACAUUUUAACUAGUUUUAAAAAAAUUGUUAAAACAGCAUUGCAGAAACAAUAGUCUGGUAAGCAAGGCUUUCAUUUGCAAGAACUUUACAAGAGAAAAAGGAUAUGCAUGACUUAAAUAGCCCAAACUUGAAGUACAGAGUCUUUAGUAUAAGCCAGUACUUCUGAAGGUAUACUCUGUGGACCUCUGGAUACUGGCAUCAAAUGCCCUCGUAGUCAUUGUAUUCUUCAUCACCAAGGAAUUACGUUUUUUUUAAAAAAAUAGCUUCAGAAUGUCCUUGCUGAAGCAGUAAAAAAUUAAUUUUAUUAAAUUUUGAUCCUUGAGCGCACAUAUUUUUCAAUAUUCUGCGUGGUGAAAUGGGAAAUAU